AUAUUGAUACUUCUGUCCAGUCACAGCCCCCACAAGACCUGGGGACCACGCAAUGAGGGCAGCCAGCGGAGAUCCCGGUGGAGGUGAGAUUCCUAUGA
rnacentral:ncRNA from 1 species